CGCGUGUGCAAGGCGGCGGCUGUCUUUGCUUCGCGCUCCGGCGCGGGUCUGAGGUAAAAUUUUCGCCCCUUGGUGUGUCCCUCCUCUGUGCGGUCAAGCAGGAGGGGAAGACACCAAAGAAGAGGCUUGAGGUCAGAGGACGCUGGCCUCGCGCGCCGACCUGGCCGCCCCGGCCUCCGGCCGGCGCUCCCGGGCGGCGGCCCUUCCCCCGAGAGCCCGGGCCCUCUCGGCCAGCCGAGGUCCGGGCGGCAGCUCUGGGAGGAGGCGGGUCGGCCAGGCCUUGUCUCCAUCCGCGAUGCUCCCGAUUUCAAAAGGCUCCAGAGCAACCUUUGGGUUCUUUCUCCACAAGGAAAAGGAAUAGCAUCUCCGUCGUUCUCGUCACGGUGACUCCGGCCCCAAUGGCCCCCUGUUCCCGGGUCCCGGUGAGCACUCGGUGGCUUUGUUCCGGCCGUGGGUGUCGGCUAUUGAAGUUUGAUUGGGAGAUUUGUCUUAAUUCCAGAUGGUCAUCACCUCAGUGGAAUAUUUUGGAUGGGAAAAAAUCCAGUGUGGUGGAAAUGGAGAGAAACUACAUUGGAGAGAAAUCAAUUUUAACCAUUGUGAAGAAGCCUUGAGUGAACACUCAUGCCUUAAGGCUCAAAGGAAAACUUACAUUAGAAAGAAAACUUGUGAGUGUUAUCAGUGUGAAAAUGCCUUCAUAAAAAACUGUGCCCUUAAGCAGCCGCAUAGCACAGGAAGAUCAGCUCGGUGCUUUGUGACCACCUAGAGGGGUGGGAUGGGGA
rnacentral:lncRNA from 1 species